rnacentral:rRNA from 1 species
GACGAACCGUGCGAACGUUGUUCGGAUUCACUGGGCGUAAAGGGUCCGUAGGCGGCUCAGCAAGUCGGGUGUGAAAUCUCCAGGCUCAACCUGGAGGGGCCACCCGAUACUGCUGUGGCUUGAGUCCAGUAGGGGAGCAUGGAAUUCCCGGUGUAGCGGUGAAAUGCGCAGAUAUCGGGAGGAACACCAGUGGCGAAGGCGGUGCUCUGGGCUGGAACUGACGCUGAUGGACGAAAGCGUGGGUAGCAAACAGG